ACGGGUUAGUAACGCGUGAGAAUCUACCUUCUAGUGUGGAAUACCUCCGAGAAAUCGAAGAUAAUACCGCAUGAGUCCUUUUAUAGAGAUAUAAAAGGAGAAAGAUGGCCUCUUUGCUAUCGCUAGAAGAUGAGCUUGCGUGCUAUCAGCUAGUUGGUAGGGUAAUGGCCUACCAAGGCUAUGACGGCUAGCCGGCCUGAGAGGGUGUUCGGCAACACUGGAACUUAGAUACGGUCCAGACUCCUACGGGAGGCAGCAGUGGGGAAUAUUGCACAAUGGGCGAAAGCCUGAUGCAGCGACGCCGCGUGAAGGAUGAAGGCCUACGGGUUGUAAACUUCUGUUAGGUGGGAAGAAAUCCUUAUUCCUAAUACGAAUGAGGGAUGACGGUACCAUCAGAGAAAGCACCGGCUAAACUCGUGCCAGCAGCCGCGGUAAUACGAGUGGUGCGAACGUUAUUCGGAAUCACUGGGCGUAAAGGGUGUGUAGGCAACAAUUCAAGUCUAUUGUUAAAGAUCCCAGCCUAACUGGGAAAAUGCAAAGGAUACUGAUUUGAUAGAGGGUGGAAGAGAGAAGUGGAAUUCUCGGA
rnacentral:rRNA from 1 species